GUUAGCUGCAGCGGCAGAAGGUCGGCCAAAACGCAUAUCUAAGGCACCUCCUUGUGGGACAGGGGGGCACAAACAUGGACACAACGCUGGGCCGGAGGCAUCUGAUGAAGGACAUGCAAGACCUCCUCCUUAUUAUACGAGAAAGCGUAAGGUUCAAAAAAGGUGAAAGGUACAGUUGGGACAUUAGCUGGAGGUAGAUAUUCAUGUGUUUGGGAAUGAUACAAUUCUUGUUGCUGUUAUCUUCGAGGCGAUGUCUGGCAUGUAUUCCUGAAAGGAGACUUCAAACACAUGCUUUAUGGCUACAAAUUUGAUGGAAAAUUCUCCCCAG